rnacentral:rRNA from 1 species
GGGGAAUAUUGCACAAUGGACGAAAGUCUGAUGCAGCAACGCCGCGUGGAGGAUGACACAUUUCGGUGCGUAAACUCCUUUUAUAUAAGAAGAUAAUGACGGUAUUAUAUGAAUAAGCACCGGCUAACUCCGUGCCAGCAGCCGCGGUAAUACGGGGGGUGCAAGCGUUACUCGGAAUCACUGGGCGUAAAGAGCAUGUAGGCGGAUUGAUAAGUUUGAAGUGAAAUCCUAUAGCUUAACUAUAGAACUGCUUUGAAAACUGUUAAUCUAGAAUGUGGGAGAGGUAGAUGGAAUUUCUGGUGUAGGGGUAAAAUCCGUAGAGAUCAGAAGGAAUACCGAUUGCGAAGGCGAUCUACUGGAACAUUAUUGACGCUGAGAUGCGAAAGCGUGGGGAGCAAACA